ensembl:lncRNA
GAUAUGUGAUGCAUAUAGAAAUAAAAAAAUAACUGUUAACUGCCGGGAAGACCUCGAUUCGGAGCAGGGCUGGAUAGAGGUCAUUUGGCCUACAUUAACGGCGACAAGAGGCGAAGCCUAUUGCAGCCAAAUUGCUUUUCGUUGGAGAAGUCUACCAAGAACUUGCCCAAAAGCGUGACGCAUUUAGCCGAGGGGAGGACAUAUGGUCUGUUACAGUGUCCCAGAAAAAAAGCAGAAAGACAGGAAAUCAAGCAAAGGAGGUGGUAACCUUACGGAAUCAAGCCACGACAUCUGGUUCACAGGCGGCAACUGCCAUGUGCGACAAGCUUAAGAGCUACCUCCAUUCCAAGAGAACCGCCAAGCAGAGCACACCCUCCGUAGCUCUACUCCUGCUCCAGAUCACUCUGAUGACUCGGAUGAAACAUCCUGUGAUUUAUUUGGGCCGUUCAAAAGGCGGAAGGUGGUACUGACAAGUGAGGAGGAGGAGAUGACUGCAUUCCACAGGAGGAGCCAGAGCACCAGACGGAGCCAGAGGGCCAGCAGCAACCAGUGAAGGUUCUGGUGGAACUAGAGGAAGAGACAUUGAAGGCUCUGAAAGAGCUUCCAGGAUUGGUUGCUGCCAUCAAAACAGCACUGGAGAAACUACCAUCGGCAUGCACCAGUUCCACCCUCAGCCAGAGUGACUGCCGGCAAACUCCAGGAUCUGAAACUAGCGGUGACGACUUGGUAUGACUCAAAGACAUACUCUGUAACCGUACCCCAUUGGUAUUAUUCUAUAACAAAGUAUUGUGUUAUCACACCCUUGAAACCAAGACAAUGCCCAGCUGCCCCAUUAUAAGUAUACAGAAGUAUACUCAAGUAGUGCUUGAGUACACUUCUGUACUACUUGAGUAUAUUCAAUGGUAUGCAAAAUUGUAAAUGAAUGCAGAAUUACAAAUAUUAUUUGUUGGCAUAAGAAAUACAGUGUACACUUGCAUUACCAUUAGAUUGUAUUACCAGUGUGUUUGAAGUUUACUUAAAGGGGACAUAUUAUGAAAAGAACACUUUUCCUGGGAUUUGGGGUGUUGUUUUGGGUCUCUGGUGCUCCCACACGCAUGCAAACUUUGAAAAAAGUCUACAUGAUAUUUUUGAGUGAGAUCCAUUUCUGAAAGUACCCUGCCUAGAUUUACCAAACGAGAGAGUCCGUUUCGGCGCCCCCUCCUACGUAGGAAGGGAGUAUUUUUGAAUAUUACCUCCUACUUCCCCACCCCUCUCCAAUUUAGAGCAUAGCUAGGAUUUUGUGGACCAGCGGACAUGAUGUUUGCGCAUUUCAGAAGCAGGGAUAUGGGAG